AUUGAACGCUGGCGGCAUGCCUUACACAUGCAAGUCGAACGGUAACGCGGGGCAACCUGGCGACGAGUGGCGAACGGGUGAGUAGUGCAUCGGAACGUGCCCAGUAGUGGGGGAUAGCCCGGCGAAAGCCGGAUUAAUACCGCAUACGACCUAUGGGUGAAAGCGGGGGACCGAAAGGCCUUGCGCUAUUGGAGCGGCCGAUGUCAGAUUAGGUUGUUGGUGGGGUAAAGGCCUACCAAGCCGACGAUCUGUAGCUGGUCUGAGAGGACGACCAGCCACACUGGGACUGAGACACGGCCCAGACUCCUACGGGAGGCAGCAGUGGGGAAUUUUGGACAAUGGGCGCAAGCCUGAUCCAGCCAUGCCGCGUGCGGGAAGAAGGCCUUCGGGUUGUAAACCGCUUUUGUCAGGGAAGAAACGGCUUUCUCUAAUACAGGGGGCUAAUGACGGUACCUGAAGAAUAAGCACCGGCUAACUACGUGCCAGCCGCCGCUGUAAUAC
rnacentral:rRNA from 1 species